rnacentral:rRNA from 1 species
GACGAGGGGUCCUAGCGUUGUUCGGAAUCACUGGGCGUAAAGCGUAUGUAGGCGGCUUUUCAAGUCAGGUGUGAAAUCCCAUGGCUUAACCAUGGAAUUGCAUUUGAAACUGUAAAGCUUGAGUAUUGGAGAGGAUGGUAGAAUUCCUGGUGUAGUGGUGAAAUACGUAGAUAUCAGGAGGAAUACCGGUGGCGAAGGCGGCCAUCUGGCCAAAUACUGACGCUGAGAUACGAAAGUGUGGGGAUCAAACAGG